UUAUUGGAGAGUUUGAUCCUGGCUCAGGAUGAACGCUGGCGGCGUGCCUAAUACAUGCAAGUCGAGCGAACCUGAGGGAGCUUGCUCCCAAAGGUUAGCGGCGGACGGGUGAGUAACACGUGGGCAACCUGCCUGUAAGACUGGGAUAACUUCGGGAAACCGGAGCUAAUACCGGAUAAUAUACGAGACCACAUGGUCUUAUAUUAAAAGAUGGCUUCUCGCUAUCACUUACAGAUGGGCCCGCGGCGCAUUAGCUAGUUGGUGAGGUAACGGCUCACCAAGGCAACGAUGCGUAGCCGACCUGAGAGGGUGAUCGGCCACACUGGGACUGAGACACGGCCCAGACUCCUACGGGAGGCAGCAGUAGGGAAUCUUCCGCAAUGGACGAAAGUCUGACGGAGCAACGCCGCGUGAGCGAAGAAGGUCUUCGGAUCGUAAAGCUCUGUUGUUAGGGAAGAACAAGUAUCGUUCGAAUAGGGCGGUACCUUGACGGUACCUAAC
rnacentral:rRNA from 1 species